rnacentral:misc_RNA from 1 species
UAGCUAGCCAGCAUCAAU